AGCAGCCGCGGUAAUUCCAGCUCCAAUAGCGUAUAUUAAAGUUGUUGCAGUUAAAAAGCUCGUAGUUGAAUUUCGGGGUUAGUAGGUUGGUCAUGCCUCUGGUAUGUACUGGUCUCACUGAUUCCUCCUUCCUGAUGAGCCGUAAUGCCAUUAAUUUGGUGUUGCGGGGAAUUUGGACUGUUACUUUGAAAAAUUGAGUGUUUAAAGCAAGCUAACGCUUGAAUACAUUAGCAUGGAAUAAUGAAAUAGGACGUUCGAUCCUAUUUUGUUGGUUUCUAGGAUUGACGUAAUGAUUAAUAGGGAUAGUUGGGGGCAUUAGUAUUCAAUUGUCAGAGGUGAAAUUCUUGGAUUUAUUGAAGACUAACUACUGCGAAAGCAUUUGCCAAGGAUGUUUUCAUUAAUUCAAGAACGAAAGUUAGGGGAUCGAAGACGAUCAGAUACCGUCGUAGUCUUAACCAUAAACUAUGCCGACUAGGGAUCGGAUGAUGUUAAUUUUUAAUGUACUCA
rnacentral:rRNA from 1 species